UGAUCAACAAGUUUGACUUCUUUUUCAGACUGAUACAGUCCCAUUGCAACCAAGCCUGCCAGAGCUUUUCUUUUUUCCUGGAUAUAAGGACAGAAAACCUGUUUCCCGACAUGUUUUCGUUGAGAUACUUGGAAACGUUGGUGCUGAUUAUCUUCCUCGCCAGCUUCCACAUCGAGGCUAAACCACUGAGAAAGAGAACCAUCAGCGAGGUGCAGCUCAUGCACAACGUCCGGGAACACAAACAAGUGGGAGAAAGACAAGACUGGCUUCAGGAAAAGUUGAAGGAAAUCAUCGUCACCAGCUCCAAACCACAACAUGGACAACUGGGAAAUAUUAGAAAUCUUUUUUCAAACGAUGCUUUUGGAUCAAACUCAUACAAGAGUUGAACACAACCUACUCACGGUCCCAAACACAAGACAGCCUCACACAAACUAUUUUGUAAGCCAUCAUUAUUUUGUAUGCUUGUCUUUUUGUAUUGUUUUUUUAAUU